UCCUUGAGCCCUUUCCCUUGUAUUUUCUCCCAUUUUUCCUUUGAGGAGGAGGAGUGAGAAAGAGGCUAUGGUGGAGUUCAGCAGCGUAGCAGAGUAAAACCACCAUACAUAUGCACUUUACCCACUGCAGAGUGGUUGAAUGUUGGGGGUUAAAACCAGUGUUUACCUGUUCUUUCACCUUCAUGACUCUUCCACAUCCCCAGCCAUAGGGCAGCCAUCAGUGCCAGGGCUGUCUGCUGGCCUUGGCAGCUUCUGGGUCAGGUCCUGGUCGGGGAGGUCUCUUCAUUGGCUUCAAUGCACUGUGCUCUUGCUGCAGUUUAGAAGAGCUGCAAAGGUUCCAGCUCCUGGGUUUUGAGGCUUCAGAAAACCCCUUAAAGUGUAGAUUUACUGGCACAGACACUGAGGAAAAAAUAUUUUCUGCUUGUCUGUAUUUAUUAUCUCAUAUGCAAGGGGAGACUAAUGCAAUCCUUUGCUAUAUUGCUGUCAAUACAAGUUUCUGCAGUAAGCUCCUCAAUUUUCCCAUAAACUGUCUCUCAUGUUUUCUUCCUCAUCAGUUUUAGAAAGAAAUCGUUAAGUUCCCCUCAGACAGACUCUUACAGUGUUGCAGGUUGGGAGCUUUCUGCUUUAUUGAGCUGCUUCAUAACGUAUGGAAAGAAAUACCUCCUACAAAACAGAAGGCCGAAGAAGACACGAAAUGCACAUCCUGGUGCAUUGCCUGGUCCACAAUGCUGGUGGCUUGAAAAAGGACUCGGGUCCCCAAAUUCCCCAUCAGCAUGCCCUGGGCUCUCCAUUGCCUCCAUUGCCGUGUGCCAGGGAGAGAACGAAAUGUUUAACAGGAUUUAUAAAGCAGAACCAGUUCCUCAGGUGAGGUGAAGGGGCAGCCUGGCGCCCCACCUAGCAAGAAGAUGUUUUGCAGUCCGUGUCUCCUUCCCCUAAGCAAUUUGUAGGGGUGAAGCCUUCUGUUAAUUGCAUCUUCUGGUGAGCACAAAGGUACUUUUCAUCCCAUCCAUGGGCUUGCCAGGACUGGCAGCUGCACGUGCCUUGCAAAUGCUAAUACAAGCCAUGCUUUGGGCAUGCCGUAAGCUGACAGCAAGAUGCCUUUGUAUCGAUUACCUGUGGAAGGAGCAUCUGUCCUCAGUGGGGUUUGAUUGCUGCUCUUUAGGCUCUUAUUUCCACAGACUAUUUCUGAUAAAUCAGUAAAAGUAAACAAGUAGAACAAAUUCUUGUGAGAAGUUUGUGUUUUUUCUUUAAUGGGAUCUUCUGCUGGAAAUUUUCAGGGGCCUGCAAACUGGAAAAUGUUGAAAACCACUAGUUCUCCUCUGUAAAUAGGCAGAGAAUUGGAUGUUCAUGUUUUCUCUGUCUCUUUAAAACUGAGGCAUAAUUGGUGUUUCAGCCCCUUUUGGAAUGGAAUUUAUUUUGACAUAAUCAAUGGGGAGAUUUUCAUUUCUGUCUUUAAUAGGUCAUAUUAUCAUAAUUAAAAUUAAUGUUCUCCCACGGUUUAAAUAUAUUUCCAAUUUUAUCCCUGUGAUCUUUUCAGCAACUUUUUCAAAUUGGAAGUGUCAAGCCCCCUGGGGAAAAGAGGGUCACUAGUACUAAAAUUUGAUCGAUGCUGUAAGGUUGUAAGGUUGCCACUUGAAUUUCUAUUAUGUUCUGGUUUUACAUAGUCCUGAGUAUACAUUUUUAGUUGUUCUUUUUUUUUUUUUUUUGACUGUUGUUUUUAAGGUGGGACUUAGGACUUAGUGAGUGUGUAUCUUGUUGUUUACACAAUGAUGAGCACGAGAAAGUCUUUAUGUUUUACCUUAAAAAAAUCUUUCAAAGUACUGGAAUGGCUUUUGAACAUUAGAUUACAACUCAGCAGAGAAAUGGUC
ensembl:lncRNA